GUCAGACCUGCCCAGUGAACUAAUUUUUAACGGCCGCGGUAUCCUAACCGUGCAAAGGUAGCAUAAUCACUUGUCCCUUAAAUGAGGACUCGUAUGAACGGUUAAAUGAGGGCCUGACUGUCUCCCGCAGCUAAUCAAUGAACUUGACCUCACAGUACAAACGCUGUGAUACAACUAUAAGACGAGAAGACCCUGUGGAACUUUUAAACUCUUACACUAAUACCACACCAAAACACAUACCAACAUAGUGUAAAUUUUAAGUUGGGGCGACUAUGGAGAAAAAAAAAUCCUCCAUGCAACACGACUUACCUCGUCAUGCCAGGCCAACAGGCCCAGCCAAACUCACCUGACCCAGCCAUAGCUGAGUAUCGAACCAAGCUACCCCAGGGAUAACAGCGCCAUCCCCUUAAAGAGUCCACAUCGCCAAGGGGGUUUACGACCUCGAUGUUGGAUCAGGACUUCCCAGUGGUGCAGCCGCUACUAAAGGUUCGUUUGUUCAACGAC
rnacentral:rRNA from 1 species